UUGAAGAGUUUGAUCAUGGCUCAGAUUGAACGCUGGCGGCAGGCCUAACACAUGCAAGUCGAGCGGUAGCACAGAGAGCUUGCUCUCGGGUGACGAGCGGCGGACGGGUGAGUAAUGUCUGGGAAACUGCCUGAUGGAGGGGGAUAACUACUGGAAACGGUAGCUAAUACCGCAUAAUGUCGCAAGACCAAAGUGGGGGACCUUCGGGCCUCAUGCCAUCAGAUGUGCCCAGAUGGGAUUAGCUAGUAGGUGGGGUAACGGCUCACCUAGGCGACGAUCCCUAGCUGGUCUGAGAGGAUGACCAGCCACACUGGAACUGAGACACGGUCCAGACUCCUACGGGAGGCAGCAGUGGGGAAUAUUGCACAAUGGGCGCAAGCCUGAUGCAGCCAUGCCGCGUGUGUGAAGAAGGCCUUCGGGUUGUAAAGCACUUUCAGCGGGGAGGAAGGCGUUAAGGUUAAUAACCUUGUCGAUUGACGUUACCCGCAGAAGAAGCACCGGCUAACUCCGUGCCAGCAGCCGCGGUAAUACGGAGGGUGCAAGCGUUAAUCGGAAUUACUGGGCGUAAAGCGCACGCAGGCGGUCUGUCAAGUCGGAUGUGAAAUCCCCGGGCUCAACCUGGGAACUGCAUUCGAAACUGGCAGGCUAGAGUCUUGUAGAGGGGGGUAGAAUUCCAGGUGUAGCGGUGAAAUGCGUAGAGAUCUGGAGGAAUACCGGUGGCGAAGGCGGCCCCCUGGACAAAGACUGACGCUCAGGUGCGAAAGCGUGGGGAGCAAACAGGAUUAGAUACCCUGGUAGUCCACGCCGUAAACGAUGUCGAUUUGGAGGUUGUGCCCUUGAGGCGUGGCUUUCGGAGCUAACGCGUUAAAUCGACCGCCUGGGGAGUACGGCCGCAAGGUUAAAACUCAAAUGAAUUGACGGGGGCCCGCACAAGCGGUGGAGCAUGUGGUUUAAUUCGAUGCAACGCGAAGAACCUUACCUGGUCUUGACAUCCACAGAACUUUCCAGAGAUGGAUUGGUGCCUUCGGGAACUGUGAGACAGGUGCUGCAUGGCUGUCGUCAGCUCGUGUUGUGAAAUGUUGGGUUAAGUCCCGCAACGAGCGCAACCCUUAUCCUUUGUUGCCAGCGGUUAGGCCGGGAACUCAAAGGAGACUGCCAGUGAUAAACUGGAGGAAGGUGGGGAUGACGUCAAGUCAUCAUGGCCCUUACGACCAGGGCUACACACGUGCUACAAUGGCAUAUACAAAGAGAAGCGACCUCGCGAGAGCAAGCGGACCUCAUAAAGUAUGUCGUAGUCCGGAUUGGAGUCUGCAACUCGACUCCAUGAAGUCGGAAUCGCUAGUAAUCGUAGAUCAGAAUGCUACGGUGAAUACGUUCCCGGGCCUUGUACACACCGCCCGUCACACCAUGGGAGUGGGUUGCAAAAGAAGUAGGUAGCUUAACCUUCGGGAGGGCGCUUACCACUUUGUGAUUCAUGACUGGGGUGAAGUCGUAACAAGGUAACCGUAGGGGAACCUGCGGUUGGAUCACCUCCUU
rnacentral:rRNA from 1 species